CUCCCCGCCCCCGCUCCUCCUCCUCCCUUCCCCUCCCCUCCCCCCAGCUCGCUGCCCCCAGCCGGUGCCCAGCGUUGGCCUAAAUGUGCUAGAUCUUUUGCUUUGAAGGGGACCAAGAAGUGUAGGGAAGAAGGAGGGGAGCAGUUGGUGAUGAAAAAAGAAUUAAGGUGUGUUAGGUCCAAGUACCCACUCCCCCCACGUUUAAUAUAAUUACUAUGUACUGCAAACUCAUACUAAUGACAAUAACAAUUUUAAAACUUCAAAUCAUAUAUGGAAAUCCUGAUGCUUUCUUUUUUAAAGGAUAGUGUUUAAAAGUGAAAAUUAGAGGCUGGAGAUUUAGCUCAGUGGCAUAAGCGCCUGCCUGGCAAAUGUAAGGUCCUGAGUUAGAUCCCAGGUAUCACAAACAAAAAAAAGGGGGGGAAAUUAGAAAACUUUAAAGUAAAUAAGACUCAAUUUUUAACAUGGUUUCCAUACAUUGGGUAUUGGAUGAGUUUAAAGGUUUUGUUAUUGCUGUUACAGUGCUGGGAAUUGAACCCAGGGGCCUUUCCACUGAGCUGUAUCUUCAUUCCAACCUCCAGCCUCCUCUUUCACUUUUAUUUGUUAGUACCUGUUUGCACUGUGUGCAUCUUACAGUGAUCUUACCGUUGGUAUUUGAGUGGGACCGCACUGACUCUUCUGGUUUCCCCAGCACCACUUGUGAACCUGCUGUCUUUUCUCCAGCAUCUGCCUUUGGCCCUUUGUCGGAUAUCAAAUAGCUGACUGUGUCUGAGGAAGUUUCUGUGUCCCCAGCUCUGUUCCGUCGAUCCAUGUUUCUGUCUUUGUUCCGGUAUCAUGCUGUUUUCGUCACUAUUGCUUUCUAGAAUAGCUUGAAGUCAGUAUUGCUAUGCCUCCUGCUUUCCUCUUCUUGCCUAAAAUUGCCUUUGCUAUUCUGGCACUCUUCUGGUCUCAUAUGAAUUUUAGGGUUAUUUUUUCUAGAUCUGUAAAGUGUGCUGUUAGUAUUUUGACUGUGACUGCAUUGAAUCUGUAUGAGUUUUGGGAAUAGGACGAUUUUGACAAUAUGGCUUCUGCCUACCCAGGAAAAGGGGACAGCUUUCCAUUUUCUGUUGCCCACUCGUCUCCUGUUUCAGAAUAAUGUAAUUUUCUUUAUAUGGCUCUUUACUUCCUUGAUUAGGUUAUUUCUAGAUAUUUCAUUUUUCUUAAAACUACUGUGAAUGGCAUUAUUUUUGUAAUUUCUGUCUCGUCCUAUUCAUUGUUGGUGUACAUAAAUGCUAAUGAUUUUUGUGUGUUGAUCUCGUAACCUGCUAUACCGGGUUCUGACCUAGAUCCCCGAUCUCCCCAACAAGUGUAUGGCAGAGGUUAAAUAAAAAGAGGCAAAUUGUAUGAUUUGUAGGGCUCCAGGAGGGUCAGAACCCUUUAAUUAAGCUCGAGGCUUCAAGGGUAAAGACAGGAUUCUCUGGGUCAGUCCACUUGUAUUAGGACCAAGGACAAAGGUGGAGAGACCGAGGAAAGUGCAGGCAAUGAGCAGGACCUUGGGAGUCACUUCAAAGACGUCUCCAAGUCAUGAAUCAAGUCAGUUCAGCAGCACUGUCUUAUCAUGAAGACAUGGUAGAAGUGAGACUGUAGGAGUCAUCUUUACAGCUGCAGUCUCUACCUUGUUAAUUGAGGUUGGAGCCAGAGUGUCUGCAGCUGUGGCCUUCUCUUGCCCUUUGAGGUAUCUCCGGCCUCACAGGCCACUACAGGCCUCAGCCAGGACCAGUGACUCAUAGAAGUUCACUUACUAUGAAUCAGCUCCUGUCACCAGGCCAGGGGCCUAGGCCUAGGACAGACUCACAGAGAAACAUAGAAAGCCAAUUAGUAAAAUUUAAAUCCUGCUCAGAGCCACUUCAUAGUGGUCUGCAACACUGCUACAUGGUUGACGUUUGUUAUUAUUUCUAAGACUUUUCUGGUGGAUUCCUUUGGAUUUCCUAUAUUGAGGAUUGUGUAAUCUGCAAAUAAUGAUAAUCUGAGCACUUCCUCUUCUAAAGUAUCCCUUUUACUUCUUUCCCAUGCCUCAUUGAUCUUGCUAGUGUUUCAAGUACUAUGCUGAAUAGAAGAGAUGAUAGUGCACAUCCUUGUUUGGUUCCUGACUUAGGGGGAAUACCUUUAGCUUUUUCCCAUUUAUUAUGAUAGUGGCUAUUGGUUUGUCAUAUAUGACUUUUAUCAUACUCAGAAAUGGUCCUUGUAUGUUUGUUUUCUUCAGGGUUUUUUCAUGAAACAAUGCUGGAUUUUGUUAAAAGCCUGCUUCUUAAUUAGAUUUUGUCUGCAUUUAUUUAUAUGAUCACAUUGUUUUUGACCUUGGUUCUGUUUAUGUGCUGUAUUACAUUUAUUGGCUUACGUAUGUUGAAUCUUCCUUACAUCUUUGGGAUAAAAUCUACUUUAUCAUGAUGUAUGAUCUUUUUAAUAAUGUGCUGCAUUCUAUUUGCUGAUUGUUGAGAACUUUUGUUUCUGUGUUUGUUAAGGAAGUUGGCCUCUAAUUCUCUUUUUCAGUUAGCUCUUAGGUAGUUUUGAAGUCAGGAUGGUAUUGGCUUCCAUAAAUGAGUUUGGGAGCACUCUAUUCCUUUCAGUUUUUUUGAAGAGCUCAAGAAGUAUUAGUGAUAGAACAUCCUUAAAGUUUUUAUAGAAUUCAGGCAGUCAUUCAUCAGGUUCUGAGCUUUUUUUUUAAAGUUGGUAGUCUCAGGGGCUGGGGAUUUAGCUCAGUGGCAUAAGCGCCUGCCUUGCAAGCAGGCAGUCAUGGGUUCGAUCCCCGGUACUGAUAAAAAGGAAAAAAGACAAAAAAAAAAAAAAAAAAAAAGUUGGUAGCCUCUUUGUAACUGUCAAUUUACUGCUUAUUGUUGGGUUGUUAAAUAUGUUUCUACCCUCUUUGGUUUGUUUUGGUAGUUUGUAUGUCUAGGAAUCUGUCCUCUUCUUCACGAUUUAUUUAAUUAUUGGAAUGUAAUUUUUCAAAGUAAUUACCAUAUAUCUUCUGGAUUUCCACAGUAUCUGUUGUAAUUUCACCUUUUUAAUUUCUAAUUGGAUCUAUGUGAGUCUUUUCUGGCUUUCUCUUGGUAUAUCUGGAUAGGGGAUUAUCUAUUUUAUCUAUUCCUUCAGAGAACCUGCUCUGUGAUUUAUUGAUUUUUUAACCAUGUUUAAAACAUUGAGGCUUAAAGCCUCAAUUUCAUUGAUUUCCACUCUCAUCUUUAUAAUUUCCUUCUUUAAUUUUGUUUUGGAUUAGUCUUUUGUUAUUUCUCAAGUGUCUUAAGAUUUCUCACAAGAUUGCUAUUUGAGUGUGCUCUGUUUUCGUGAUGUAAGCAUUGAUUGCAAGGAGUUCUCCUCUUAGAACUGGGUUCAAUGUGUCCCAAAGGUUUCAACAUGGUAUUUACUUACGCAGGCUUCUGGACUAGAGUGUGUCCAUCUUGCAGAAAGUACCAAAGCAGAUCACUCUAAAUAAAUUCUGCUGAAAAGAAUAUGUCCUCUGUUGUGUAUGUAUGUAUGUAUAUAUAUAUAAUUUAAGUCCAUAUGUUCAAGGAUAUAGUUCAGCUCUGAAACUUCUUUGUUGGUUUUUUGUUUAGUUGGUCUCUGCAAAAGUGCAGUGCUAAAAUCCCCUACAAUGAUUGUGUUAGUGCUAAUUUGAUCUUUUAACUUGAGCAGUUAUUGUUUUAUGAAGACAGGUGCUCCAGGACUAUGUAUAUAUUUAUCAAAGUUAUCUCUCCUUGUCAGAUUGUUUCCUUAACUAGUAUAUAGUGACCUUUGUCUCUUCUAGUCAGUUUUAGCUUGCAGAUUACUAUGUCCGAUUGUUACCUUUGCUUAUUUUCAGGGUCUUGAUCCAUGAAAUGUUUUCCAUCCUUUAAUUUUUAGUCUAUGAAUGGCUUUUUGGUGUUUCUUGGAUGCAACAGAUUCUUGAAUCCUGUUUUUCAUCCAAUCUGCCAGUCUGUGUCUUUUAACCGGAGAGUUGAGGGCAUUAACAUUGAGCAAUUUACUAAGAUGUGUAUGUUAUCAUUGACGCUUUUUUCUGUUGGUGUAUCCUUUGUUUUUUUUUCUUGCCGUUUUUGUUGUUGUUGUUGUCAUUGGUGCUGUUGCUGUUUGUCCACUGACCUCACUAGUUUCCUCUGAUUUAGCUGUGUCCAAUUUUUUGUUUCUGUCAAGAAUAUUCUUUAGUAUUUUCACUAGAGCAGGUUGAGCACUCCUAAACCAUCUGAGCUGGUCUUUUCAUAAAAAUACUUUAUUUCAUGAAAAUAGGGCUGGGGAUUUAUCUUAGUGGUGUAAGUGCCUGCCUGGAAAGUGCAGUUGUGAGUUCGGUACCAAAAAAACCAAAACAAAACAACAACAACAACAAAAAAACCCCUUUAUUUCUCUCUCUAUAGAUAUAUAUUUCUUUUUCUUUUUCUUUUUGAGUCAGGGUCUCACUAUGCAGUUCAGGCUGGACUUCAAUUCACUUUGUAGCCCAGGCUGGCCUUGAUCUUGCAGCAGUUCUCCUGCUUCAGCCUCCUGCGUGCUGGGAUUACAGGCAUGUGCUGUAUCACACCAGGCUAUCUCUAUUUAUUUUUGAAGAACAUCUUUGCUAGGUAAAUUAAUCUGAGUUGGAGCUAUUUGCUUUUAAGGCUUGAAAUACUGCACUCCAAGCUCUCCUAACUUUCACAGAGUGUACUGAGAAAUAUGGGGUGAUUCCUUCCAAUUGGUUUCCCUUUACAUGUGAUUUUUUUUUGUUUUUAAAAUUGUUUUUUUCUCCUGCUGUAUGUCUACUAAUUUGGUGGACUUUUUUCACCACAGCCUCUUUUUGAGGAUUCAUAUCUUUGUUGAAUCUAUAAUUCAAAUUUUGAACUGUUUUGGUUCAAAUUAUGUCAACUGGAGUAUAAAUGCCCAACUAAAUCGGCUCAGCAUAGUUCUGGGUGUUGAAAACCCCCGUGAAGGAGGAUUGUCACCUGAGUGUAUGAAAUCAAAAUGAAGAAGGGAGGCCUGCUCUGUUUCUUCGGAGGAGCUCCCAUCUUUGCCUUCUUCUAGGAUGUUGUCUCCUGGCUUCCAGCGAGACUUUCCAUCCUUCCCUUGCAGAUUCUUUGGCCUCCUGAUAAGGACUCACAUGGAACACGACCCUGAGCUCAGGCCAUGAUUGGAUCCUUCGGCUCUCCAGCACACAGACAGCUCUCUGCACUCUUCCACACCUGACUCUAAACAAAGGCAAAGACCCUGAUCAGCCUAGACCAGCAAUUGGAGAAACAGUUAUUUUCAGCAAUCAGCAUAUCCCUGUAAGUAUGAAGUACCUCUCAUACUCACUGGACAUCCUGAGUGUGAGGCCCCCUAUCUUGUGGCAUCACCCUGCUGCUAAGAUAGUUUCUUUUCUGCAUUUGCCACACUUUAAAUAAACUUUUGUUUCCCGCUA